GUUAAAAAGCUCGUAGUCGAAUCUGUGUCGCGCGCCGCCGGUUCAUCGCUCGCGGUGUCAACUGGCGUGUCGCGGGACGUCCUGCCGGUGGACGUCGGUCUCGUCGCUCUCUCUCCCUCUCAACCGGGAGCGGAGGCGGCGGGACGGUCCAACUUCAACAAUCCCAUCGCGGUGCUCUUCGCUGAGUGUCGAGGUGGGCCGGCACGUUUACUUUGAACAAAUUAGAGUGCUUAAAGCAGGCUAAAAUUUCGCCUGAAUACUGUGUGCAUGGAAUAAUGGAAUAGGACCUCGGUUCUAUUUUGUUGGUUUUCGGAACC
rnacentral:rRNA from 1 species